GGGCACAUGGUGUAGUUGGUUUAUCACGCCCGCUUAGCAUGUGGGAGGUGUUGGGUUCAAUUCCCAAUGUGUCCA
rnacentral:tRNA from 1 species